GAAGAGGUGGCUCAGUGGUUAAGAGCAAUUUCUGCUCUUUCAGAGGACCUGGGUUCAAUUCCCAGCAACCUUA
rnacentral:tRNA from 1 species